rnacentral:rRNA from 1 species
AUUGAACGCUGGCGGCAUGCCUUACACAUGCAAGUCGAACGGUAACAGACCUUCGGCUUCCUACGAGUGGCGAACGGUGGCGUAAUACAUCGGAACGUGCCCGAUCUUGGUGUUUAACGAGGCGAAACCUUGGCUAACACCCCCUACUAUCUCCGAAUACAUGCGGGUGACCGCAAGGCCUUGUCCGACCGUGCCGGCCGAUAGCAGCUGAGGUAGGUGGAGGGAUAAAAGCUUACCAAGCCGAAGAUCUGUAGCUGUUCUGAGAGGAUGAUCAGCCACACUGGAACUGAGACACGGCCCAGACUCCUACGGGAGGCAGCAGUGGGGAAUUUUGGACAAUGGGCGCAAGCCUGAUCCAGCCAUGCCGCGUGGAGGAUGAAGGCCUUCGGGUUGUAAAGUGCUUUUGUAGGGAAAGAAAAGCAUUCUUUUAAUACAGGAGGGUCAUGACGGUACCGAAAGAAUAAGCACCGGCUAACUACGUG